CCAAAUGUCGCUGAGGGGGGUCAGAAGCCAGAACUCAUGCAAGAUGACAUGCUUCCAUUGUGACCUCCACAGCUAGGUGGAGCCAACAGUUGUGUGGGGCAGUAGACUUAUCCAACUCACUGGACUCAGAGACAGUGAGAGCUAACAAGCAAGCGUCUCCAGAAUGAAGCACACGGAAAGGGUGGACUAUGUGUGGAUCAAUGCUGAGGGGAAGCUCUCCAGUCUGACUAUCUACGGUUUGGGAUGCCAAGAGAACUGAAGCCUUCGUGCUUUGGUACUAUUGUGGUCUACACAAGGCGGCCAGUGACUCUGACUUCACAAUUUGCUCUAUUAUUUUCCAGCUCAGGUGAUGGUUAAAGCCCAUAAUGGUGGACCAAAGGCACAGAGGCAGGAACAACUGAAGAGAGCCACUUCUUGAUCUGGGUGCUCUCUUUGGUCAGAGUUACCACUCUGAAGAAUGGGGACUUGUCUGAGACUACUACUCUGUCAGAAGGCCUCAACUCUGGGCCAAGCAUUGGAUCAUGGACAGCAGGAGUGAGAGGCUCAGUGCUCCAGUUCUACGCUAAGAUUUUCUGGCUUGCAAAUCUCUUGGCCUGCACAUUGGGAAGGUCUGUGUGGGUUUAAGAGGCUGCAUCCUGUGACCUUAUUUCCAGAAGAGGUUUGGUGACAAUGGUUUUUGACACCCAAGAGUGUUCCCAGAAUCUCUGUACACUCUCUUGAACUUCAUACAUACUUCGAAAAGCAAAAUUACUUUUACUUUAUUUUGAGGACAGAGCGACAAACCAUGAAACAGGAUGAUCAGAAAAAAGGAG
ensembl:lncRNA